rnacentral:lncRNA from 1 species
AUUUCUGUGUCUUUGGCUUCCCGGAAAGGAUUCAUAGCGAUCAAGGCGCUAACUUCGAGAGUCAGCUGAUCAGUGAGCUCCUCAGGGUGUCUGGCGUCAGAAAGUCGCACACGACGCCUUAUCAUCCGAUGGGGAAUGGGAGUGUGGAGCGGUUUAAUCGGACCUUGGGUGGCAUGAUCCGUGCGUUGUCCCCUGAGGAGAAAGCUGACUGGCCACGACGCUUGCAGACACUGACCUUCAUGUAUAACUGUGCAGUCCAUGAGACAACAGGUUAUCCCCCCUUUUACCUCAUGUUUGGUCGGGUCCCUCGCCUGCCUAUCGAUGUCCUCUUUCGUGCUGUCCUUCAUGAUUCCGCUGUAAUGAGCUAUGACAGGUAUGUGGCAUGUCUUGCAAAUGACCUGAAGGAGGCGAUGGUGAUCGCUCAGGACCAUGCUUCAAAAGAACAGAGGAGACAUGCCCAGUUGUACAACAAGAGGAUAAAGGGACCCAGUGUUGAUAUCGGUGACAGAGUGCUCCUAGCCAACAGGAAGGAAAGGGGCAAGAAGAAGCUCGCUGACCGGUGGGAAUCAACCAUUUACACUGUGAUGGAUAUUAACCCAGAGACGCACACGUACAGGAUUCACGACACAGUCACUGGACAGGAGAAGGUGGUCCACAGGAACCUGCUGAUGCUGGCGAAUUUCCUCCCUGUGGAGGCCACAAGUGAGAUGUCUGACCGAGCCUCUUCCAUGUCUGAUACUGGAUCGUCAGCCCUGGAAACUGAUGACAUCGGAGCGGAUGGAAGGGUCUUGUAUGAGAGAGAGAAUGGGACUCUUAAUGGAGCUAGUCGGAACAUCGAGGGUGGGUUUGUUGGGAACACGCCUGUGACUGCUGUGGAAAUGCAGAGCCCUUUGAGUGGUCCAGAGCCUGUGGACUCUGAGAAGAGAACCAUUGAAUGGAUCACACAGCUGUCUGCACCAAGUCUGUCAGGAAGAGAUGUUACUGACUUAGCAACCAUGAACUCUGAC